ensembl:lncRNA
ACCAAAAUGCGGCGUGGUAUGUGUUCAUCAUGAAUUUUAAUAAAGAAAACACUGAACACUGAAACACUAUACAAAAACAAUAAACUAAAUAACAACCGUGAAGCUAAUGCGAACUGUGCUGAAACAAGCAAUCAACAUAGACAAUCACCCACAAACAAACAGUGCAACCCAGGCUACCUAAGUAUGAUUCUCAAUCAGAGACAACUAAUGACACCUGCCUCUGAUUGAGAACCAUACUAGGCCGAAACAUAGAAAUCCCCAAAUCAUAGAAAAUCAAACAUAGACUGCCCACCCCAACUCACGCCCUGACCAUACUAAAUAAUGAAUACAAAACAAAGGAAAUAAAGGUCAGAACGUGACACUAAUUAUGUGUGUAGUUUUAGUCAGUAAAAUUAUAUAUCUGUGAGUGUAGUUUUAGUCAGAAUUAGGGUAAAACAAUGUAUAUGUACAAUAUGUCUUUAUCGUAUCUUAAACACAGACUGUCUGAGCAAAAUUCGGUACCGACCUGACUAGAGAUUUGGGAGAGGACAGGGAGUACGUCUCAAGGUCUCCCUAAUCUUUGUCGGCUGGGUAGUGAUACAGUAUGUGCGUAGGAUACCUACUGUUUGUGUGUGGAAGUAUGUGCGCAGCAAUAAAAUGGAUGUUUUUCUAUUAUUUAGUUUAGAACGUUCUCGUGAAUAAACUGUACUGACCUUUUGCAUAAGCUGAGUCUUUGACUAAUUAUUAUUAAACCCAUGGUUUUAUAAACCUCAGGGAUUUUGUCAAAGCUAUUGAUUGAUUGUUAUUAUCAUUGGGAUUGAAAAUUCUCGUGACACCCAUUGAUCAUUAAUGCCCUACUACAGAAAAAAACACAAUUUCCAUUGAUCGUUAGUACUCUAUUGGCUUUUAGUCCUCUUGACCGUAAGUACUCUAUUGGCUUUUAGUCCUCUUGACCGUUAGUACUCUAUUGGCUUUUAGUCCUCUUGACCGUUAGUACUCGAUUGGCUUUUAGUCCUCUUGACCGUUAGUACUCUUUUGGCUUUUAGUCCUCUUGACCGUAAGUACUCUAUUGGCUUUUAGUCCUCUUGACCGUUAGUACUCUAUUGGCUUUUAGUCCUCUUGACCGUUAGUACUCGAUUGGCUUUUAGUCCUCUUGACCGUUAGUACUCUUUUGGCUUUUAGUCCUCUUGACCGUAAGUACUCUAUUGGCUUUUAUCCUCUUGACCGUUAGUACUCUAUUGACCUCUCGUCCUCUGCAUUGUGUAUUUAUCUUCUAAAUAUUCUUACACUCCCCCCUAGACCAUUUUAAAAAUAAAUAUACUUUAAAUGUAUUUUUAGAAAACAAUAGAAAACAUGAAAAAAUAGAAAGUAUAAAAAACAUUAGCAGUAAGCAUAAAAUCAUUCACAUUAAACACCUUGCAUUUCUAUAAAACACAAAGGGCAUAUUCUACUUGCUUUACAAUAAGAAAUAGAUUUCAAACAAAGUUAUAUAAAAUAAGUAUUGACAUGUGUAAUGAUGAUGUCGCUUACGAUUCCUACCGCAUCAUGUAUAAGCAGGAAGACAAUAAUAUUAAAUUGUCCAAUUAGCAAGUAUUUUAAAAGUGACCAGCUCUUCCACACUAGUAUCAGUCCCACAUAGAUAACUAUUAGAAAUUAUGUUUGGACAGUCUGCCGGUAGUGAGGAAUUCUUCUUCUGUUCCACUGGUUGAUAAGGACUUCACUAAUGAACACUUCACCGUUGAUCUUGUAUCAUGUCAAGUACAGUCCUUGGGUCAAGGAAUAUUGCUUCAGCUUCAGAUGGUAAUUCUCAUAACCUGCAACAAAGGAAACAAAAGAGUGAAAGUGACAUGUCCUUGUUUCAAGAGAAAAUUAUAUUUCACAUAGAUUUCCCUAAG